rnacentral:rRNA from 1 species
ACGAACGCUGGCGGCGUGCCUAAUACAUGCAAGUCGAGCGAAGUUUUUCUGGUGCUUGCACCGGAAAAACUUAGCGGCGAACGGGUGAGUAACACGUAAAGAACCUGCCUCAUAGACUGGGACAACUAUUGGAAACGAUAGCUAAUACCGGAUAAUGGCAUUAACUGCAUGGUUGAUGUUUAAAAGUUCGUUUUGCUAACACUAUGAGAUGGCUUUGCGGUGCAUUAGCUAGUUGGUGGGGUAAAGGCCUACCAAGGCGACGAUGCAUAGCCGACCUGAGAGGGUGAUCGGCCACACUGGGACUGAGACACGGCCCAGACUCCUACGGGAGGCAGCAGUAGGGAAUCUUCCGCAAUGGGCGAAAGCCUGACGGAGCAACGCCGCGUGAGUGAAGAAGGAUUUCGGUUCGUAAAGCUCUGUUGUUAGGGAAGAAUGAUUGUGUAGUAACUAUACACAGUAGAGACGGUACCUAACCAGAAAGCCACGGCUAACUACGUG